rnacentral:rRNA from 1 species
ACUACGGGAGGCAGCAGUGGGGAAUAUUGCAAAAUGGGGGAAACCCUGAUGCAGCGACGCCGCGUGAGUGAAGAAGUAAUUCGUUAUGUACAGCUCUAUCAGCAGGGAAGAAAAUGACGGUACCUGAGUAAGAAGCCCCGGCUAACUACGUGCCAGCAGCCGCGGUAAUACGUUGGGGGCCAGCGUGAUCCGGAUUUACUGGGUGUAAAGGGAGCGUAGACGGCAGUGCAAGUAUGGAGUGAAGGGCCGGGGCUCAACCCCCGGACUGCUCUGGAAACUGUACGGCGGGGGUGCAGGGGAGGUAAGUUGAAUUCCUAGUGUAGCGGUGAAAUGCGUAGAUAUUAGGAGGAACACCAGGGGCGAAGGCGGCUUACUGGACUGUAACUGACGUUGAGGCUCGAAAGCGUGGGGAGCAAACAGGAUUAGAUACCCUAGUAGUC